UACGUAGGUGGCAAGCGUUGUCCGGAUUUACUGGGCGUAAAGGGCGCGUAGGCGGCUCGACACGUCCGUUGUGAAAUCGCCCGGCUCAACUGGGCGGGGUCAGCGGAUACGGUCGAGCUUGAGCAAGCUAGGGGGCAAUGGAAUUCCCGGUGUAGUGGUGGAAUGCAUAGAUAUCGGGAGGAACACCAGUGGCGAAGGCGGAGUC
rnacentral:rRNA from 1 species